GAUGAACGCUGGCGGCGUGCCUAAUACAUGCAAGUCGAGCGAACAGACGAGGAGCUUGCUCCUCUGACGUUAGCGGCGGACGGGUGAGUAACACGUGGAUAACCUACCUAUAAGACUGGGAUAACUUCGGGAAACCGGAGCUAAUACCGGAUAAUAUAUUGAACCGCAUGGUUCAAUAGUGAAAGACGGUUUUGCUGUCACUUAUAGAUGGAUCCGCGCCGCAUUAGCUAGUUGGUAAGGUAACGGCUUACCAAGGCAACGAUGCGUAGCCGACCUGAGAGGGUGAUCGGCCACACUGGAACUGAGACACGGUCCAGACUCCUACGGGAGGCAGCAGUAGGGAAUCUUCCGCAAUGGGCGGAAGCCUGGCGGAGCAACGCCGCGUGAGUGAUGAAGGUCUUCGGAUCGUAAAACUCUGUUAUUAGGGAAGAACAAAUGUGUAAGUAACUAUGCACGUCUUGACGGUACCUAAUCAGAAAGCCACGGCUAACUACGUG
rnacentral:rRNA from 1 species